UACGUAGGUGGCAAGCGUUGUCCGGAUUUAUUGGGCGUAAAGGGCGCGCAGGCGGUCCGUUAGGUCCGAGGUGAAAUCUCCCGGCUCAACUGGGAGGGGUCUUCGGAUACCGGCGGACUCGAGGUGAGCAGAGGUGAGUGGAAUUCUGGGUGUAGUGGUGAAAUGCGUAGAUAUCCAGAGGAACACCAGUGGCGAAGGCGACUCACUGGGCUCCACCUGACGCUGAGGCGCGAAAGCGUGGGGAGCGAAC
rnacentral:rRNA from 1 species